GAAUUUAAACGUCAGCAAGUCAGUGGGGGCUUUACUUUUCCAGAAUUAAUACAAUGCAUGGAGAAGAAUACUAUAGUAUCACACUGGAGCCUUAAACCCUUUGACUUUGGAUUCCCAGUGAUGCUCAGUGAGUCCACUAGAUGUCGCUGACUCACCAGGUCAGCGUAUCUGACGGGAUAAUCUGAUGGCAGUUGCUACCUGGAGAAUCUCCUUCCCUGUGUGCUCUGACCCGCCCAUUCAAGCCUGGCUCCACGUUCUUGUGGCAACCAGGCUGCAAUCAAGCAAUAUCUCCAGCUAGUUCUUCACUGACUUCUAACUUAAUAUUGUUCUCUUGGUCUGGUUUCUGAGUCUCGGUGGCUCCUCGGGAUCCUGUGCCCCUUAGGAGCCUGGGGAUCUUUCAUUUGGUGAGCCAGCCAGGAGAUCAGAGGAGACCCCAGACUCAUUACCGCGACUAAGAGGAGAUUUCCACUUCUGGCAGACGAAUAUCAGUUGCUGACUACAGCCUGCUCCUAAAGACUGCG